UGUACACAGCUUUGCUAAAUUCACAAUUUGUACAGAUUUUUGUCGCUUAGUACAUAACAAGCGCAUAAGAUCUUUAAUAGUAUUCGGAUGUACACUUAAUCCUGCUCCAACUUACACUAAGCGCUUCCUCCCUACCAUGGGUACCCUUUAUAUGCUGCUGGGCACCACCCAAACACGCGCCGUCCGGCCUCCUUGCGACUACGGCGGUUCCAUCUCCCCCACUGGGACAAGUUACUCAGACAUUGUCGGUUUUACAAACAUUUAAUGAAUUUAAUGCCUUCAAGACCAAGACUUGGACACCGUCUUCAAAAUUUAAUCGGUCAAAGCAGAGGAUCUGUAUUUUUGGAAAAGACUACAGGCACCUCGGAAAGUUAUGCUCUACCAGUUAUGUAUUGGUAGAGCUCGCAUGGAAAAACGGCCCUCAAAAAGUACGCACGCAGGGCGUGCGUGUUGGGUCACCCAAUCCUGAGAAGCUCCUGGGGAAAAGAAGGGACAGGCCAAAAGGUACGUUAUUGCACUGUAAUCUAUAUUAUUUUACUAACACUCGCGAUCUCCUCGCGACCACUGCUGGCCGGCACGAAGGGCAAUUGUCUGCCAAGUAUGUUUUCGAACUCCCAAGUAAAUCUGCCAAGUAUGUACUCGAACUCCCAAGUAAAUCAGCCCAGUAUGUAGUCGAACUCCCAAGUAAAUCUCCCGGGGCCAUUUGUGUCGGGACCCCGGUUGCCCUAUAAUUGAUAAAUAAUAAAUACCGCACUCUAUGUUAACUAACAUACUACCACUCACUUUUAUUUUAUUUUUGGCACAUAAUUUAACUUAAGCUUCUAGCUGCAUCUGUCUGGUUCCGCAAUAUGGCUGCGACUAUACCAAUAUCUGCUGAUCAUCUUCGUUUCCGCUCCCCGCCAUAUUACAUGGCCUCUGCUAAAAUUGGGUCAUUGGACACAUGAGUGCCAUUUAAGAUAAUCUCGGAGCGAACCCGUUUAAUCCUCAGAUGGCCAGAUUGCCCGCCAGAUUUAUUCCGCUGCUGCAACUAUCUCCCUAUCAGUGCCAUCUUCGACUCGAAUUGCAACAUCUGCUCAAUAGAAUUUUGUAGGUCAUAGCCUGUCAAUCGGCGAUAUAUCGAUACCACUAUUUGGUGGUAAAUGUUUUGGCAGAAUUCAUUUGCGAUACCUGUGUGCCUGGCACUGUUGUAUGAAUUAAUUAAAGUUAACGUUUGAUGGUUGCUUUCUCGGGUGCGUACGCAUUCUCGCUGGCCUGAACAGUGUCACCGCGUGGGUAAGGCCGUAAUUGAAAGACUUGAACUUUUCGAAAACUGUAGGUUUGGGCUGCCUGUAGUUCAUUCAGAAAUUAGGUAAAACUAUGCCCCUUCGAAUGUGAAACCGUGCAAAUUGACACAACCUCUGUGAAAGUUGUAAUAUUCAAUUUAGGCUUCCAUAAAAAUUUUUUUUUGACGUUUUUACGAAAUGUGCUUAAAACGAUCCCCAAUCUAUCCAUAUACCGUGAAGAUUGUCACAACCCCUACAUGGUAAUAUUACGUGUGCAAGAGGAUUAACAUUUAAUAGGGGUUUUUCAGAAUAACUGAUAUUUCCGAAACACUUAUACGCAAUUCAAAAAUAGCUUUCCUCUUCAAAUCUCAUCAAUAAA